rnacentral:tRNA from 1 species
GGAGGGAUGGCCGAGUGGUCGAAGGCGGGCGACUCGAAAUCGUCUAGGCGGUGAUGAGCCGUCUCGUGGGUUCAAAUCCCACUCUCUCCGCCA